rnacentral:lncRNA from 1 species
UAACCCAAUCAAUGAACAUGAUAGACAGCCUAUUUUUCUAUUGGCUACUUAACCAGAUGGUCUGACGUCACCACUAUGCGUCAAAUCUUCCCACUAUGUCCGCAUGUUCUAAACAUGGUGAACCAGUUAACAACACCUGCAACAAACUUUGGUCCAGCUGUGUGUCAGCCCUCGGAGGUUCUAGAGAUGACAGAGAGGGGAACCUUAAACUACAGCUGAUGGUGAUUGAUAUGUUGUGUCAGAUACUGCAGACUGAGUCUAUAUGGGAUGUCCAGCAAUGGAUUCUGACAGCUGGUCAAAGAGAAAAGGACCAGGUUCUAAGUCUGCUGUGUUCCGCCCUGGCCAAGGACCCUGUCUCAGCCUAUGAGGCUCCAGGAAGAGAGCAGCUGACAGUGAAGGAGGUUCAAAACUUCCCUCCUGCCUCCAGAAUGGCUUUGAUCAGUGAGAAGGAUACCACCAGAAAUCAUUCCCUAGAAAUGAUGUCAAACUGUGACUCAGGUAAACUGGAGGAUGCAGACACAGAGAGGGCAGAGUCCAAGACCCCCAGGGAGAAUCACAGCGCCAGACCCCUGAGUACCCAGAGGACCCUGGGUAGCCCCCCCGUGUGUCACCUCAACCAGAAGGUGGUCCUACGGUGCACCAAGUGGGCCCUGAUGCCUCACACACAACCUGAAGUGUUCCAGGCUGAAUGGCCCAACUAUACCCAGCAGGCACCUGGCUGACUCGUGACUUAAAAC